GCGAAAGUAGCUCAGUUGGUAGAGCGUCAGCCUUCCAAGCUGAAUGUCGCCAGCUUCGAACCUGGUCUUUCGCU
rnacentral:tRNA from 1 species